GGCCAACAUACAGAUUUGUGUCUCUUUCUGAUAAUGAGGAGGCAAAGAAAUCAAUGUGGUUUUUGGAAUGAAAGACGAGUCCACCAAAAAGAGUCAUUCUGUGUUCUAUCUGAGAUAUGCUAUUUGUAUUUACAUUGUUUUAAAGCAGUUUUUUGGCAUUGGGAGCAGAGUCUGCACUGAGUCCUAGCUAGGAAGUGAUCUGAUUGGAUAGUAGUAUUUUGGCUAUACAUUUUUAAGUUUGAGAUAUAAGAUUCAAAUUAUAGGAGUUAUAGAAAUCCUUCUUUGGAAGAUCUGACAAAAACAUGGGUAUUAUCUGUGACAUGGAUCCUUCUGUUAAAAUCCUUAACUAUGUCACAUUCAAAAAUAUUAAAAUACUUUUAACUCCUAAGAUGCCAGAUAAGAAAUUUAAGCUUACAUUUUCCUUCUAAUUGUUCUUCUCUCAUUAGCAGGUGAUAAUGUUGUGGAAAAUCCAGAUAUGUGCUGUGGAGCCAUUUGGUUCUCUGAAGAGUUGCAGCCUGUGGAGAGAGUACCUUGACUGGAUUUCGCCUGGUCUGCAAAACCUGACCACAAGAGUGUCUGAGAGAAGCUGUGGCCCAUUGUCCAGUCCUGCGCACCACCCUCGUGUGACUCUGAGUGCUGUCCAUUCUCCAAUCCUGGUCGCUGCCCACACUCUGGUGAGUGUUCCUCUGUGUGACCUCUUAUUUUUAAGUGAACUCUGACUCAAUACUUGGGAAACCAUAGGGUCUUCGUAUCAUUUUCCCUGGAAGUUAGGCAAGACCCUCUUUCAGUGUUUUGUAGACAGCUGUAAUGAAACACCACCCCCGCCCCCAGGCUUAUGAACAGUGAGUCAGUCUGUUUCUCACAAGGUGGAGGCUGGGAGUCCACCGUCAGGGUGCUGGCAGAUUCGGUGUGGCUGAGGACAAGUGCGUCACAGCCAGCACUCUGUCACCAUGACCUUGUGUGGUAGGAGGGGCACAGGGUUUCUCCAGGGCCUCCUUCAUACAGACGCUCAGUCAUUUGUGAGCAUCCUACCCUGGUGGUGCUAUCCACACCCUAGUACCAGCACUUCAGAAGCUAGGAUUGCAACUUAAGUCCUGCACAGACACAUUUCAGUCAAAGCAGCACUCCCACCUGCUGCCCCAGCCCUGCUCAUGGUCGGCAGGCCUUACUUUAAGCGUGUGUGGCAUUGUGCUGAGAGUCCCAGCAAUCCGGGCUCUGCCAUUGCCAGCCUCACGGUGUA
rnacentral:lncRNA from 1 species